rnacentral:rRNA from 1 species
CCUACGGGAGGCAGCAGUGGGGGAUAUUGCACAAUGGGGGGAACCCUGAUGCAGCGACGCCGCGUGAGCGAAGAAGUACCUCGGUAUGUAAAGCUCUAUCAGCAGGGAAGAAAAUGACGGUACCUGACUAAGAAGCCCCGGCUAAAUACGUGCCAGCAGCCGCGGUAAUACGUAUGGGGCAAGCGUUAUCCGGAUUUACUGGGUGUAAAGGGAGCGCAGGCGGCCUGCCAAGUCUGGUGUGAAAGCCCGGGGCUCAACCCCGGGCCUGCAUUGGAAACUGGGGGGGUGGAGUGUCGGAGGGGCAGGCGGAAUGCCUAGUGUAGCGGUGAAAUGCGUAGAUAUUAGGAGGAACACCGGUGGCGAAGGCGGCCUGCUGGACGAUGACUGACGCUGAGGCUCGAAAGCGUGGGGAGCAAACAGGAUUAGAUACCCCGGUAGUC